CUCCCAAAUUGGUGUCGCCUACAAAAUUGAUGGUCAUGCCUUCUAGCCCUUCAUCUAAGUAGUUAAUAAAGAGGUGGAACAGAACUGGACCGAGGACGAGAUCCUGCUGAUGGCACCCCACUCGUGACUUCUUUCCAGGAAGAAGAAGACGCAACGUUGAGCACCCCCUGGGUUUGUUCGCUUAGCCAAUUUCAGAUCCACCUGACCGUAGUUUUGCCUGGCCCACAUUUGACUAGUUUGCCAGAAGGUCAUUAUUCUGACUCAAUAACUGGGCUGCAAGUGGGAGGCUGUGGGAGUGUCUGUAGCUGACUCCAUUAAACCAGUACUUACACCAGAUAUAUGUUGUCAGACAGUGUCAACUCAACUGUCGAGAUGCAAACAAGGUUCCAGGUACUUUAAUCCAGGUAAACCUUGUAAAAUGUCACGCAACAGCAGGUGAAAAAGAUGAUAAUGUCCCAGGAGCUGGGCAGCCAUGUUCUCUCUUCAGAAGAAGUCCAGGCCAGAGAGAGGAGGGAGGGGCUGUUGCAUCACAACUAGGAGUACAGGAAGCCAAGAGGGACAAACUAGAAAGCAAACACAGUAUGGCAGGUGCAAAUACCAUGCUCUGGGGCAGGACAGUCAUUUUGCAGAUAAAGUCACUCAGAUCUGCUCUGACUGGGAUCGUGUUAUUGAUACACUUCCGAUGGAUGUAACUUUGGCUCCUGCUUGUCCAGUGCUGAUGGAUACCUUUCGAUUUGUGCCGCCUGAGGACGUGGAGAGGAUCCUUGGCAAGAAAAAGACUGCAAGUAUGCCAAUGAUUUCAAUCAAGAAACAACUUCCUACAGAGAUACUCGCAGGAACGCCUCAGCAAGAGAGAGUCCAAAAGUGGCAGGUUAAAACCUGGAACCUCAAUCAGUGGCUGAAACCGGAUGAGAAACUCCCUCCUGGGCACACAGAAGACUGGGUAACUUGGAAGACAUUGAACAGAUUGUGCUAUGGUACCAUGAGAUGCAGAGCCAAUCUUAAGAAAUGGGUCAUAAAGUGGAGUCCGUGACAUGCGUGUGUGGAGAAGAGCAAACCACAGACCACUUACUACAAUGCAGCCUGAGCCCCGCCAUAUGCACAAUGGAGGACCUUCUUAUAGCGACACCAGAGGCACUCCAAGUGGCCAGCUUCUGGUCAAAGGAAAUUUAGCAUAAUGCCAAGUUUUUAACUUUGUUUGUGGUUUGUUAUAGAUUAUAGCUGUAUUCUCAAUUUGCUUCUGACAUGAUAAAUAAAUAAAAUAGCAUGAAAAAGAAAGAAAAAGAAUUAAGAACCAGAAUUUAAAAAAUUACUCACAUAUACGGAAAGAUUUUGCGGAGCAGUGGUGGGAGCCAUUUCUUUCCUCCAAUGGUCCAUAAGCAAAAACACUGGGCAGCUGGGUUGGAACAGUUUAAUUAUUAAAAAGUCACGAGAACCAUCCAUGGCCCAGGAAUCUCCUGGUGAAUUAUCGGUCUGAUAAGUAAAGAAAUGAAAAGGGGGAUCAGAAACUUUGUAAUGGGCAGGAAGAAAAACACCAAUGUAAACACUGAAGGAUCCCUACCUGCAGAAUCACAUUUGGUGAUCUCUGGUAAAUCCAAGUGAUGCUCAUCAGGCAAACCACUGCUCCUGCUCCCUUUCUAGAUUUCACCGCAAAGGCUUCUGUAGAUGUUAAGGUAUAGGAUUAGAUAAAUUUUCCUCUCCAGAAUUCGUAGGAGACAAACCGAAGUGAAAGACUUUGAAAUAAACAUUUAAUUAGCUCUGAAUCACACUGCUUAAACAACCCCAAAUAAGACUUGGAUUUAUGACUCUUGCCUCUAGAUCUUUACAAUAAUCUCUAAUCUGUUCAAUGGUGGAAUACUGAGGGAAAUUAGGAAAACUGCCACCUUGGAAGUGUUCAGGAAGAGCCUGAAAACCUGGCUCUUCAAACAGGCCUUUGAAGAAGUACUGCCCACUGUAUGCUAAACCCUGGUACUAGCGGGUUCUUCUGACCAGUUGUACCUGUUGGUUAACUCCCUGACAUAGCCUCAGUGUUCACCCCAGUCUAAGGCUCUUCCCAUGACCUUGUAGCACCUUAACUUCCUUCUUGUUUACAAGUUCCACUCAGUGCACUUUGCCCAGCUCAUUUUAUGUUUUUAUUGCUGUGUUUCUCAAGUAUUUUAUAAUGAUUGUGAUUUUUUAAUGCCUUUUAAAUUUAUUUGUGUGUUUUUGUAUUUGAUAUUAUUGUAUGUUGGUUUUAUAUCUGUAAGCCGCCCCGAGUCCCUCUGGGGAGAUGGUGGCGGGGUACAAAAAUAAAAUUAUUAUAUUAUUAUUAUUAUGAGUGCUCCAGCUUUUGCCUUUUCCUGAGAGGAGGUUUGUCUGCUUCGGUGUAAAAAGGAAAGAUGGGUUGGGGAACCUAGUGGCACUUGCAAUGCUCUGCCUUUAUGUGUGUGUAGACACAUGCAUGUAUACAUACAUGUGGAUGUUUGUUGAUUUCCAGUGAUUCCAUAUAGUUUUUUAAGCAACCCGUCCUUACAAUUUGUUUCGCUAGUGACUGACCUCCUCUGAAACACAUUCUAAUGCCAGGGCUGUCCCUGCUUGGUUUCCAAAAUCAGAAGAGAUCUAGCACUCAGUUGCCAAGAUCAGAAGGAUCAUUGGGGUUGCAAUAAUUUUUUUCCCCAAGUUCUGACUGUAUCACUAGGAAUUUUGAGGCCAAAAGCCAAGGCAGAAGCAGAUACAUAUUUGCAUAGGCAAUUCCAUACACCAACUCCAGGAACCUCGUCAAACAAGGGGACGAGGCGCUUCACCUAAAUAUUGAAUUGGGGGAGGUCAAUCAACUUCAUGCUGUCUCUCUCUAUUCUGCCUUUUUCUCCAGUAUUUUUUACUUCAUCACUUCCACCAUCCUAUAGCGUCCAUUUCUGUCCAUUGCUGCUGUCUUGCUAUGUAUUUCCCACUGUUCCGUGAUAUGUGUGUGUGUGUGUGUCAGGAGCAACUUGAGAAACAACUGUAAGUUGCUUCUGGUGUGAGAGAAUUGGCCGUCUGAAAGGACGUUGUCCAGGGCCACCCAGAUGUUUUGGUGCUUUUACCAUCCUUUAACACUGUGUGUUGCAUGUUGAUUUUAAUGAUUAUUUUUAUUGAUGCUGAUGUUUUUAUUCGGAUAAUUGUGUUAUUGCUUUGUUAUUGUUAUUUGAUUGUUGUGCCGGGCAAGGCCCCAUGUAAGCCGCCCCAAGUCCCUUCGGGGAGAUGGGGCAGGGUAUAAAAAUAAAGUUGUUGUUAUUAUUA